CUAGAGCUGCCGAUCCUGCUGAGCCCUGGCUCUGGGCAGAGGAGCUGGACUUCAGUCUUUCCCUUAUCGCUCCCCAGAGGCGUCUGCGUCCCUCCAAAGGUGUGAGCCAUGGCUGUCUACCCAGAGGCCCAGAAAAGGGUUCCCGAGGCCUUCCAUGGACCAGGUUGCCCCUUGGUGUGUGCAAGGCACUGGGAUGGGGAGGGUGGUGGUGGGAAAGGAGGCCUGGGCUCCCUGCUGGGGACAGAGGGAGAUGGGCAGGGCAGUGGCCUCCUGGCUGCCCGCCCAGCCGCGAGGAGCACUUCCUGCCUCGCCAGCUCCAGGGACUUGGGGACAAAUCACUGCGCUUCCCUCUGGGAAGCUUUGUCUUGCUGACCAGAGAGAAGUGGAGAGACGGCCAGCUGGUGUCUGCUGCACAGUCAGGCCCAGGGCACCUGGGGGAGGCAGAUCAGGCUGCAGAGCCGUUAGCAGCUCAAGGGGUCUUCUGAUGGGAAUCCCAGGCUGGGCCAAGCUUGUCCACACCCUCUUGCCUGCACUAGGCUCUCAGGGCUGUUCUGAGGAGGGUCCCCCAGCUCUGAGGCCAUCCUGCAGCACCAGCUGGGAUCGGCAGGCACUUGGGGCCGGAGCUGGGAGCCAGGUGCCCACUCCCUGCCGCGGCCUGAGCCACAGUGCAAGCCCUGCAGCAGGAGCACAGCCCGACAGAACACAGUGCCAUGGGCCUGGGAGAGAGGGGACAGAUGGAGCCAAGGAGCCAGAGGGCAGUUGGACUGGGACCAGCCUGGCACUCCGGAAACUCGAACCCAGGCCCCUCUCGUGGAAGUGUGAGGUCCCCGGCAUCAGUAGACGUCAGAAUGCAGACCCCCAGGCCCCACGAGGAUGCUGGGGUGAGAAUCCCCCUUUCAACAAGGUGCCUGGGACAGGAACGUCAGGCCAGUCCACUGCAGGUGUCAGGGAAGCACCCCAGGCCUGGCCUUGAGGAGGGCCCUCCGACACCCAGUCAGCCAGGGCCCUGUGGAGCCUGAAGCCCUCCCACUGCCGACUGUGCUCAGGUAUGUUUGCCCCACUCACCCGAGGCCAGGUGACCGGAGGACAAGGCCUUCGGGCCUUGGCUGCAGCCCCUCAGGAGGGGUCCUGGGACGGCAGAUUUGGAAGGGCAGCGAGGGAGAGGCGCGCAGCAGAUACGCCAAGUGUGACCAGAGCGGGGCUUGAGUUCCAGCUUACGGUGCAAACCAGAAAGACCCUUGGGGAGGGUCCCCUGGCAUCCACUGACUGCAGGACUCCUGGGGGGGAGGGGCGAGGCUUCUGGGCUGGUUGGAGGGAGGGUUCCGGGAUCUGCAUCCCAAAUUAUUUACUUCUGCAUUGAUAUUCUUCGAGUGACAAGAUAAUAUAAUGAUCAUUGUAAAAACUCCCAAUUUUCACAUCCCUUAGUGGAAAGUGAAACCCAAACUCCUCAGAAAGAAAAAUUCCAGACAAUGAGCCAUGUCCAGGGAGGGGCCUCUCAGGGGCAGCGGAGUGGUUGAGAGCUGUGGUGCCUGCAGGGCUGGACCACAGGGGCCAAGGGGAAAGAGGGCCUUCCUUCUGCAGGAAGUGCUCUGGGACCAAGAAUCCAGUAGAAGCUGCAGCCGGUGUUCUGGAACCGACUUGCAGGGAGGCCUCUUUGUCUGUGUGACCCACUCCAGGACUCCAGCACUGGUGGAAAGCAGGGUGGGGGGACCGUGUGGAAGUGUACGUUGCUAUUAAAAAACAAAAGCCAAACCCUCCCACCAGAAUGGGAAGCCAACGGAAACCUGGGGAAGUGCUCCACCUUUGAGGCACAGGGUGUUUAUAAAGACCUCAGGGAAGGAGAGCGGGAGGGACUCACAGACUCCACAGGUAUAGACAGAGAGGAAUAAAACAG
rnacentral:lncRNA from 1 species